UACGGAGGAUGCAAGCGUUAUCCGGAUUCAUUGGGUUUAAAGGGUGCGUAGGCGGCUUUUUAAGUCAGUGGUGAAAUCUUGCCGCUUAACGGUAAAAUUGCCAUUGAUACUGACAAGCUUGAGUACAGUUGAGGUAAGCGGAAUGUGUAGUGUAGCGGUGAAAUGCUUAGAUAUUACACAGAACACCGAUUGCGAAGGCAGCUUACUAAACUGUUACUGACGCUGAUGCACGAAAGCGUGGGGAGCGAACAGG
rnacentral:rRNA from 1 species